UACGUAGGGUGCGAGCGUUAAUCGGAAUUACUGGGCGUAAAGCGUGCGCAGGCGGUUCGCUAAGACCGAUGUGAAAUCCCCGGGCUUAACCUGGGAACUGCAUUGGUGACUGGCGGGCUAGAGUGUGGCAGAGGGGGGUAGAAUUCCACGUGUAGCAGCGAAAUGCGUAGAGAUGUGGAGGAAUACCGAUGGCGAAGGCAGCCCCCUGGGCUAACACUGACGCUCAUGCACGAAAGCGUGGGGAGCAAACAGG
rnacentral:rRNA from 1 species